UACGUAGGGGGCAAGCGUUAUCCGGAUUUACUGGGUGUAAAGGGAGCGCAGACGGCAGUGCAAGUCUGGAGUGAAAGCCCGGGGCCCAACCCCGGGACUGCUCUGGAAACUGUACGGCUAGAGUACGGGAGGGGCAGGCGGAAUUCCUAGUGUAGCGAUGAAAUGCGUAGAUAUUAGGAGGAACACCGGCGGCGAAGGCGGCCUGCUGGACCGAAACUGACGUUGAGGCUCGAAAGCGUGGGGAGCAAACAGG
rnacentral:rRNA from 1 species